AUACGGAGGAUGCAAGCGUUAUCCGGAUUUAUUGGGUUUAAAGGGUGCGUAGGCGGUUUGCUAAGCGGGAGGUGAAAUGCCGGCGCUCAACGUCGGAAGUGCCUCCCGAACUGGUGGACUGGAAUGACUCUGCCGUGGGAGGAAUGUGUAGUGUAGCGGUGAAAUGCUUAGAGAUUACACAGAACACCGAUUGCGAAGGCAUCUCACGAAGGGUUGAUUGACGCUGAGGCACGAAAGCGUGAGGAUCAAACAGGAUUAGAGACCCUGGUAGUCCACGCAGUAAACGAUGAUGGCUAACCGAUGGUUUAUUCGGAUCAGUGGCCAAGCGAAAGCGAUAAGCCAUCCGCCUGGGGAGUACGACCGCAAGGUUGAAACUCAAAUGAAUUGACGGGG
rnacentral:rRNA from 1 species